CCUACGGGGGGCAGCAGUGGGGAAUAUUGCACAAUGGGGGAAACCCUGAUGCAGCGACGCCGCGUGAGUGAAGAAGUCUUUCGGUAUGUAAAGCUCUAUCAGCAGGGAAGAAAUAGCGACCUUUGGGUCGCCAGACGGUACCUGAUUCAGAAGCCCCGGCUAACUACGUGCCAGCAGCCGCGGUAAUACGUAGGGGGCAAGCGUUAUCCGGAUUUACUGGGUGUAAAGGGAGCGUAGACGGCAGCGCAAGGCUGACGUGAAAUGGCGGGGCUUAACCCCGGAACUGCUUUGGAAACUGGGCAGCUAGAGUGCAGGAGAGGUAAGUGGAAUUCCUAGUGUAGCGGUGAAAUGCGUAGAUAUUAGGAGGAAAACCAGUGGCGAAGGCGGCUUACUGGACUGUAACUGACGUUGAGGCUCGAAAGCGUGGGGAGCAAACAGGAUUAGAUACCCUGGUAGUC
rnacentral:rRNA from 1 species